UGGCGGGUAAAGUCAAUACUUACAGUAUAGCUGUGCAGUGCUCAAUUGUCUUUUCUCCCAGCUCAAAGCAUUGCUUCCUGCAGUCUCUGUCUAGCUCAAUUCUGUAGUAAGACAGGGACGCUUGGUUUCAGACAU
rnacentral:snoRNA from 1 species